rnacentral:lncRNA from 1 species
CAGCCUAUGACAACGUGCAUUUCAAAAUGGUUCGUGUAAGGAAAUGAAAGCAAGAGAACACGGAGCUCUUCUGGGUAUUUCUAGAAUUGCGAAAGGGAUCGGAGAGCGUGCUCAGCCUUGGGUGGCUGGUUGUAUCCAGCAAUCCCUACCACAGUUGUAAACAUCACUAAAUCUUUGUUAUCCUGCUUGCCAGGAUUUGGAUGGGACAAGAAGCCAACGACUAUCAGUUUAGGGGAGGUAAUGAAUGUUAGCCGCUCCCCUUUGUUCACCCCUUGCUACUUAGGUUACACAGUUCUUCUGUGCGAUGUGCCGGUGCAAUACCUCUGAGCGACCAUUUUGACGGGUUCAGCAAUGCUUGUGGCAACAGGCUUUGGUCAUCCUCAGAUCUACAUGACGAGAGAGACUGAAAGAAAAAUAAAAUAGGAGGUAAUAGUCCUUUCUCUUCUUCUAGUCAGAAGACUAAC